UGAGUAACCUGCCCUUAACUCUGGGAUAAGCCUGGGAAACUGGGUCUAAUACCGGAUAUGACUCCUCAUCGCAUGGUGGGGGGGUGGAAAGCUUUUAUGGUUUGGUUGAG
rnacentral:rRNA from 1 species